AACUAAAAUAUGGAUGCUCUUUGUUGUGAACUGAAGUGUUUAACUUCAAUGCUCUUUCCACUUAGCUCCACUCAUUCCUGCAGAGAAUCUCAUUCAACAACAGUGCUGGGGAUGAAAUUACAUUAAAUGAAUAUGGAGAGUUAGCAGCUGGCUUUGAUAUUACCAACUUGGUCACUUUCCCAAAUAAUUCCUAUGUCAGAGUCAAAGUGGGAAGUUUGGAUCCUCAGGCCCCUCCAGGGAAAGAACUCACCAUUAAUGAAGACAGAAUCAAAUGGCACAGACGCUUCACUAAGGUAUGGAAAUAAUGGCACAGUCCCUAAAAACCCAGAAUUUGUGGUUAUCCACAAAAUGGGAUGUAACAAAAGCACUUCAUACAUUAUUCAUUUUGAAAUUCACUAGCACCUGAAACCACUUCAGACUAGUGAUGAGUUAGAAUCGAGGAGUGCUCCCAGACCUCUUGUUUCAAACGGAAUGCAACUCCUCCCAGAACAGGUCAGGCAUAGGAACCCAAAGCAUUUCUCUCUGAGACAGGAUGUGGCCUAACAGGAAAGCGCAACCCAAAAGUCAUGGAAUGAUUUCCUAUUGCUAGUUGCUUGUAAUGAGCCUGCACGUAGGAGCAGAACCACUAUAAUGGCUUACCUUUUAAUUCCUUGUGCCACCACAAAGGAACAGCAUGUGAACUCCUUAAAGCAAAUGCCGUUAGGUGGUGACUCCAUCAAAAGGCCAAGCCAGGGGUGAAAUCACACCGAAUUCUUACACAGCUGUAAGGUUGGAUGGUCCAGGCAUCUUCUUAAGUUUGUGCCACUUAUGUGUAGCUACGGAUCAUUUCACACUAUUAGUACUCCUAUUUACUAUUAAAUCACCUGAUAUUGGAUAUUGGAUAAAUUCUCCAAAACAAUAUAAUAAUAUCAAACUCUUCUAUCUCUUUGCAUAGGUGCCACCGCUUUCUCUAUGUAAUGCCAACUGCCAUCCUGGUUACGGGAAGAAAAAGAAGGAGGGAAAGACGUUUUGCUGCUAUGAUUGUGAUCCAUGUCCAGAAGGAAUGAUUUCAAAUGAGAAAGGUUAGAGAUGACAUCUUAAGAUAAUGCAGAACCUCUGGGCUCCUGGCAAUUUUGUUGACAUUAAACUGCUGCAGGAGAAAAGGCUUAAAUUAAUAGAUGUGUUCUUCUCAUUGUUUAGAGAUAACAUCAAUAUAUUUUAAUCUUUAAAACAUCUUGAAGAUUUCUUUUUUAAGUGAAAGCUAAGAUAUUUUACCUCCAACUUCUACAAAAUUGGGGUGGAAUAGAAGUGGUGUUUUCUCCUCUAAGAAUCAGGUUGUUUGACAAUAGGGUGAAACUAUUACCAAACUCGCUUUUCUGAGAUCCAAAGAUUUCAGCUGUAAUGCAUUUCUCAUUUUGUUGUACUGUUUAUGUGGCUCUAAGAAAAAGCAGGGAGACAAUAAAGAAAAAAAAGAUGUUACCAAUGUAGAAAAUUCCAGUAUUGAUCCACAAGUUUUAUUUUUGAUACACCUGUUAUAAAAGCAUUUGGACUUGAAGCUCUUAUACAUUCUGACGUAGAAAACACUAUGCUAAAUGGACUAGUGAUGUGAAAUUCUUAAUAAUACUUUUGGUUACUUCAAAUUGUCACACAUUGUUUUUGUAUUUUCAGACAUGGAAACAUGUGUCAGUUGCCCAGCAGAUCAGUAUCCAAACAGCGGCCAGGAUCUAUGCAUUCCUAAGAUUCCAAACUUCCUAGCCUUUGAUGAAACCUUGGCCAUUGUUUCAACAUCCUCUGUGCUUCUAUUCUCUCUGAUCACAAUUCUAGUGCUAGGCAUCUUCAUUAAGCAUCGCAAUACAGCCAUAGUCAAAGCCAACAACCGAAGCCUCACCUAUGGUCUCCUUAUCUCCCUCCUCUUGUGUUUCCUCUCUUCUUUGUUGUUUAUCGGAAAACCUAAUAUGGUGACUUGCCUUCUCCGACAAACUGCUUUUGGCAUUGUCUUCUCUGUGGCCCUCUCCAGCAUCUUAGCCAAAACCAUAUUGGUGGUUUUGGCAUUCAUGGCUACCAAACCAGGAUCCAAUAUGAGGAAAUGGGUAGGCAAAGAACUGGCUUAUUCCAUUGUCUUUUCCUGCUCCAUUGUCCAAGUAGGAAUCUGUGUCCUCUGGCUGGCAACCUCUCCCCCAUUCCCAGAUGUGGACAUGCACUCAAUGCCUGAAGAAAUCAUAUUUCUAUGUAAUGAAGGGUCAGUCUCCAUGUUCUAUUGUGUUUUGGGCUACAUGGGCUUCCUGGCCACUAUCAGCUUCACGGUGGCCUUCCUAGCCAGGAAGUU